rnacentral:rRNA from 1 species
UACGUAGGGGCUAGCGUUGUCCGGAAUCAUUGGGCGUAAAGAGCGUGUAGGCGGCCCGGUAAGUCCGCUGUAAAAGUCAAAGGCUCAACCUUUGAAUGUCAGUGGAUACUGCCGGGCUAGAGUCCGGAAGAGGCGAGUGGAACUCCGAGGUGUAGCGGUGAAAUGCGUAGAUAUCUGGAGGAACACCGGUGGCGAAGGCGGCAUCCUGGACCGGCAUUGACGCUGAGGCGCGAAAGCCAGGGGAGCAAAGCGGG